UACGGAGGGUGCAAACGUUGCUCGGAAUCAUUGGGCGUAAAGCGCUUGUAGGCGGCUUGUUAAGUUCCGUGUGAAAUCCCCAGGCUUAACCUGGGAAGUGCGCGGAAAACUGGCGAGCUUGGGUGCCGGAGAGGGUCGCGGAAUUCCCGGUGUAGAGGUGAAAUUCGUAGAUAUCGGGAGGAACACCAGUGGCGAAGGCGGCGACCUGGACGGACACUGACGCUGAGACGCGAAAGCGUGGGGAGCAAACAGG
rnacentral:rRNA from 1 species